rnacentral:misc_RNA from 1 species
GAAUUUGAUGAACUUCUUCCCAAGUACCUCAGUUUUUUGAGGGGUCUUGUUGAUUCCGACACGUUACCCCUUAAUGUUUCACGUGAAAUGCUUCAACAACAUAGCAGUCUGAAAACAAUAAAGAAGAAAUUAAUUCGCAAGGCCCUUGAUAUGAUCCGCAAACUUGCAGAAGAGGAUCCCGAUGAGGCGAACAACAAAGAUACAACAGACACAGAGAAAGCCAGUGAUGAUGAUGAUGAGAAGAAGGGACAAUAUGCCAAAUUCUGGAAUGAGUUUGGCAAAUCAAUUAAGCUUGGCAUUGUUGAAGAUGCACAAAACAGAAAUCGUCUGGCCAAACUUCUCAGAUUUGAAAGCUCCAAGUCUGAUGGUAAGCUUACAUCGCUGGACCAGUACAUCUCUAGGAUGAAGCCUGGACAAAAGGAUAUCUUCUAUAUAACAGGAACAAACAAGGAGCAACUAGAGAAGUCUCCGUUCCUCGAGAAGCUUAAUAAGAAGAAUUAUGAGGUUAUUUUCUUUACUGAUCCGGUGGACGAGUACCUCAUGCAAUACCUGAUGGACUAUGAAGACAAGAAGUUCCAGAAUGUCUCCAAAGAGGGCCUCAACCUUGGGAAAGACUCUAAGCUCAAGGACCUCAAGGAGUCCUUCAAGGAGCUGACCAAGUGGUGGAAAGAUGCCCUUGCCAGCGAGGGUGUUGACUCUGUCAAGAUAAGUAACCGUUUGGACAGCACCCCCUGUGUGGUGGUCACGUCGAAAUACGGGUGGAGUGCAAACAUGGAAAAAAUUAUGCAGUCCCAGACCCUUUCUGAUGCAGGUAAACAAGCAUACAUGAAAGGGAAGAGAGUCCUUGAGAUUAACCCCAGGCAUCCCAUCAUCAAGGAACUUCGCGAGAGAGUUGCUCUUGAUCCCCAGGAUGCUAGUGUGAAGCAGACGGCAAGACUGGUGUACAAGACAGCUCUUUUGGAGAGUGGCUUCAUUCUCAAUGACCCCAAAGAUUUCGCUAAUAGCAUAUAUGAGUCUGUUAAGUCAAGCCUGAAGAUUAGCCCUGAUGUAGCAGUAGAAGAGGAAGAUGACCUCGAAGAACCAGAGGUUGAAGAGAAGGAAUCAACUCCUGAGGGAGAGAAUACAGAAGCUUUCGAAGAGGAGGAGGUUGGACACGACGAGCUAUAGACUAGGGAAGGUGUAUCCUUUUUUCUUUCUGUGUGUUCCCCUGAAGAAGAUUUUGGUAGCCAAAUGUGGUGAACUUUGUGGAGGAAAUGUGCAGCAGGCUCUCUGUUGCUCUUAUUAAAAUAGAGGAUCGAGUGAUAAUUGUCUUGUAAACGUAACAAAUGAGAUUUUGGUGAACUUUUAGGAGUUUCUAAUGUUGUUAGUGAUGUCUGCAUGGCCAGUUUAUGUUGUUUCUUGAUUCGGUCUUUUAUUAUACUAGUAGC